GGUGACCAUGGCGGAGGUGAAACACCUGUUCCCAUUCCGAACACAGAAGUUAAGCCCUCCAGCGCCGAUGGUACUGCAACCGGGAGGUUGUGGGAGAGUAGGACGUCGCCG
rnacentral:rRNA from 1 species